rnacentral:rRNA from 1 species
AAUUUUCGGCAAUGGGGGAAACCCUGACCGAGCAACGCCGCGUGAGUGAUGAAGGCCUUCGGGUUGUAAAGCUCUGUUGUAAGGGAAGAACGGUAGGUAGAGGGAAUGCUAUCUAAGUGACGGUACCUUACCAGAAAGCCACGGCUAACUACGUUCCAGCAGCCGCGGUAAUACGUAGGUGGCAAGCGUUAUCCGGAAUUAUUGGGCGUAAAGGGUGCGCAGGCGGCAAUUUAAGUCCGUGGUAAAAGACUGAAGCUCAACUUCAGGUGGCCAUGGAAACUGGGUUGCUAGAGUGCAGGAGAGGGUAGUGGAAUUCCAUGUGUAGCGGUAAAAUGCGUAGAUAUAUGGAGGAACACCAGUGGCGAAAGCGGCUACCUGGCCUGUAACUGACGCUCAUGCACGAAAGCGUGGGGAGCAAAUAGGA